AUUACAAAAAAAUGAUAGUUUUAGUAAUAUUGUCGAUACUGUUAACCGGUUUAAAGGCUAGUAAUUCAACCCAAAGGUUGGAUUCAUCCGAAAAUUUGGUGAUUCAGUCAAACAAUGAAUUUUCAUUCAGAAUAUACAAUAUGUUAGCAAAAGAUGACAACAACGACAUUAUCUCUUCGUUUUCAAUAAUAUCGGCAUUAAGUAUACUAAUGAACGGCGCAAACAAUAAAACACUCGACGAUUUCAAAAGAUUUCUUGGAUAUCAAAACAAAAAGACAAAUGAAUUAAUUAGUGAUCAAACUAUUAAUAAUGGAUUUCAAAUUAUUAAUGGAUUGUAUGAAAACAAAAGCGUUGAAUAUAAAAACAGUUUGAAUAAAACAGAAGAAGACAAUCGUUAUGAUACAGAUUUGAAACACCAGUUAAAUGUUGCAAAUCUUGUUGUAAGAGAUGAAAGUGAAGUACUUAAACAAGAGUUUGUGAACGCAAUACAACUGGCCUUUAGAGCACAGGUAGAUAGGGCUGACUUCAAGCACAAUGCAGUGGCAGAGACUGACAAAAUUAACCAAUGGAUCCGUAAACAGACAAACAAUAAAAUACAAGAGAUUUUUAAAAAACUUGAUCCAAUGACAUAUUUUAAAUACGAUUUAUUUUAAAGGUGAUUGGGAGGAAAAAUUUGAAGAUUGGAGGACUGAAAAGUCUGAAUUUUAUAAUAACGGCGACCAAAAUAUUCACAAGAGUUAAACUCACGACUAAUUGAAUUGCCGUAUAAGGGAAGGG